UUGAGGGGGAACAUGAAUCUACUAAUGAGUGAUCAAAAAUCAGGUUUCAUCAAAUGAACAUUUAAACAAACACUAGAAUUUUAUAAAAGCGUUCAUCAAAA